UCUUACAUGCACAGCUUCAGAAAAGAGAAAGCCUAAUUAAUAUCUAUAAUUCGAAGCCUAAGUACAAAAUCUAUAAAAAAAUAGCAAAGAAACUGGGAGACCAACUUGAAUGCAGCCUUCAUUUAACAAAACUCCAACCACAUUACAUGUCCAAGAGUCAUUCCUCCAUUAAAGCUAAGGGGAGAUACCCGAUAUUGAUCAAACAAAACCAGCAGAAGUGAAAUGUCAGCCAGAAAUAGUAGGGUAGCAGGAUCAACCAGUUAAACCAACUCAAAACAGAAAAUAAGGUAAAAUAUCCCAGAAAACAAUUUCAAUCCAAGCAGUGGACCAGAAGACCUCAGAUUAGAAUUGAUCUUUAUUCAUUUAGACUAUCAGCUAAUUAAAAAUUGUUUUAGCGCUUUUAGUAAUCACCAAAAGGACUCAAUGAAUAGUGUUUUCCUAAGGUUUUCAGCCGGUUUGAUUUUUCCUGGUUUCUCUCUCUCUCUCUCUCUCUCUCUCUCUCUCUCUCUCUUUCUUCUUUUUUAUCUUGAGUUUUUUAUGCGUUUAUAGGCUAAGAUUUGGGGUAAACCUUCAGAUUUUUAUUUUACUCCUUAGUCCCUGAUUUUAUAACUUGUUAUCCAAGUGAUAAUAUGAAAAUUUUAAAAUAAACCCCUGCUAGAAGCUUAUAGGGGUUUCUUAGGUGGUUACAACAAGAUUCCCUAAGUACAUUUCCUAGUUUACCCAUCAAUUAUCCUAUUUUUACCUCUGAAGCCUACCAAAAAUGGGUCAACUGAGCUAAUUGGGUAAUAGGCCCCAAAUUGAAUCUCUAUUAGGCCAAUUGCCAUCUAUUAUCCAAUUACAAUAUUUGUGGACCAAGAUUGAAGCUAAAACAAAGCUUCCCAAGCAAAACAAAAAGCCCAGAACAUAUUUUAACAGAAACAAAAGGUAAAAUUAAAGACCUAGCCUAAAAUGACAACGAAUUAAUUAUGGAAAUGACUUUAUUUAUCUAAGUAAUUAACUGCUAAUGAAAAAUUUAAGCUCAUUAAUCAACUAAUAGGAGAGAAAAAAAAUAAAAGGACCCAGAACAAACCCAAAAACAAAACGAAUGACUAAUAGGAAGACCUAAAACUAAUACAGAAAUUGCAAAAAGCCUAGUCAUGCAAUUGAGAAGAAUUUUUUUACAGAUCAAAAGCAAAUGAGGGGAAGGGUACAUGACAGGAGAAUCAGGAAAAGAUGAAGCAAAAGAAUGAAUAAAAUUGUGAAGCAAGAAAAACUUACCAGCUGAGCUUGAAAACCACAGGUAACUUUGAUUUGUUGUCGAAACAGUAUAGAUCAUUUGUUCUUUGUUGAGACAGAUGAGGAACGCCAUUUCUAGACGAGCCAGGCUAGGAACAACAGGGUAAUUUCGAGGGGUGACCUUGCAUAGAGUAUUCUGAUUUUGGAUUCCAGAUUUGAGAGACUCAAGGGGGAUUCGAGGGAAAUGGUUCAUGGAUUUAGUACGAGAGUGCUUUAAUGGUUUCGUGGAAUUAUUUCGGUGGAGUUUGGGGAGCUGAAUCACAAAAUAGCCAUGGCAGCUUAGGUUAAACAGGGUGAGAGACAUGAGAUGGAGAAGAGGACCCAGUCUCUGAGGU
rnacentral:lncRNA from 1 species